UAGCCAGCCACGUUGUUGUUUGUUGAGAU
rnacentral:piRNA from 1 species